ensembl:lincRNA D830026I12Rik RIKEN cDNA D830026I12 gene
GAGAUUCAGAGGAGAACUCACAAACAAGAGGUUGCCUUCUGUCCAGCCCUAGUAUGAGGCUUACUGUAGGCUGUUAUGUAAGGUGGAGAUGGUUUUGCUCAGACAAACUUUAUUACCAGCACCAAUGAGGGGAACCGAGAAUUCUGAGCCACUGUAGCUGACAUCACAGAACUCCAGCUGCUCUGUGGAUUGUAUCCUUUUCUACCUCUGUCCUUAAAAGCUAUUGGAGCCCUUAUUAAAAAAAGAAACUGCUGCUAUGUACUUAGAGAGCAACUCUUAUUUCGAGUGAUUCUUUUACCUGAUAAGGCAUUUGGAUAUUUAUUCCUCUAACUCGACUCCAAUCCCCCUAUCUUUUUCGUGUUUUCCCAGGUAAAGAGGAAAAAUCUCCAAUCCACUCCCAUCUGUUUGCCUCAUCCAGCAGAGCUUCCAGGCCACAGAAGGCUCAAGACUACAAUAUAAUUCCUGAGACUGCCAAGACCUUGGGUGCUGAUGGCUUCUCGUGGAUGAGGAGAAAACAACAGGACCACUGGAUUAGGGCUUGUUACAGCCCAACUCUCCCGCUUCUUGCUUCUUGCUUCUUGCUUCUUACUAAAUAAUGGAUCAAUGACUGCCCGGCAGAAUUAGCCUUUCAAUUGACUUUUGUCUUUCGCCCAUCAUUUUCAAAGCUCAUCUCCCAUGGGGAAGACUGAAAGAAGGAGUCUACACUGAGGGAACAGAAGUCCUCUUGUGGCUUGAGCUUGCUUUAUUCUACUGCCCAGGGAAGGACAACAGGGACCCCUGUGCACUUCGCUUGGUUAUGACAAAAUUUCCAUUCUUCUAGCCUUUGUUUUGUUCCAUGGUAGCCUAUAUAUCAUAUCUAUAGAGCAUAGAGGCAUAAGCCCCCCCUUUGCUGUAAUUGGCCUAAAAGUCUUCACAUGAAGAGCCAUCAGCUCAUAUUUGCAUGCUCCAUUUACUCCAAUAAUGUCUUCCACAUUAUUGUUUUACAAUUAAUUUCAUAAUUAAUAAGGUUGCAAUUUAGAAUCCUUAUAAAAGUACAGGGAGAGGUUUAGAGAUGAAACUGUUCAAAACAGUACCAUAUGUAUUUUAGCUUCACUGGAGCAAAGAGGAAAUUGCCUGUUUCUUCCAGCUUGUUUCAGUGUCCUAGGGCAGGGGCAGAAUGUAAGUGAUCACGAAGUGCUUUUGCUUAUUGCCACUUGGAAACUGGCAAUACUGCUGUGAAGAGAUGCAUAUCAGUUCCAAGCAAGAGGCUGGGUAGUUUCCUUCUGUAAUCCCACACCAGUGUGUGAGUCAGAGUUAGAACCAGAAUCGUUCUAAAGGCGAAUUUGUGCAUCUGAAGCAACCUCAUGUUAUACCCAUUUGGUGAUUCAUGACAGAGAUGGAGUCUCAUUAAUAAGGAUUAUUUAUCCAAAGCCUUACCAAAAGCAUGUGAAACAGCUUUAAGACAGGACCUCAGGUAGCCCAGGCUAUUGUGGAGCUCACUCUGUGGCCAAUCAAGAUCUCCUAAUUUUCCUGUCUCAGCUCCCAAAUGCUGACACUUUAGAUAUGCAACACUAUGUUCAGGUUGAAAAACAAAAUCUUAUUAAAUAAAUUUCUUAUGUCGAAAUC